UACGGAGGGUGCGAGCGUUACUCGGAAUCACUGGGCGUAAAGGGCGCGUAGGCGGCCGCGUGUGUCUGGCGUAAAAUACCACGGCUCAACCGUGGGAAUGCGCUGGAAACUACGUGGCUUGGGUGCGGCAGAGGCAGACGGAACUGCUGGUGUAGGGGUGAAAUCCGUAGAUAUCAGCAGGAACGCCGGUGGAGAAGUCGGUCUGCUGGGCCGUAACCGACGCUGAGGCACGAAAGCUAGGGGAGCGAACCGG
rnacentral:rRNA from 1 species